UCCGCUUCAGCUCUCGUAUAGACGCCUCAAGAGAGUCACGCCUUUUUUCUUCUUGGACUGUUGUUGGUGCUGGACUUAAUUCUGGGCCAAAGUUCCGAAAUAUAUAUAUAUAUAUAUAGUAUAACUUGUUGGACAAAUUUUAUGCCCCUAAUUUGUUGAUGCCCUGGGCCUAAGCCCACCUUGCCCAUGUAUUGGGCCGGGACUGAGAGAAGUAAAGAACUCACCAAAAUUUAAAAAAAAAAACGAAAUCAGACCAUGCUUUUUUGAUUUUCAGCUUUCAGAUAUGCCUUCAAGCCUCCUGUAUUCUGUAUUCACAUCACAAAAUCAAGUAAUCAACCAUUGACCUAAUCACCCAAUCAUUUAAUCAAAUACAGUGAAGAUAUGAAUAUGAUGAAUUGAUGAUUCAUGUCGGAAAUUUUAGAAAGAAAUAAGAAACAAACAAACGAAAAAAAGAACUCACCGAUUUUACGAUUUAUAUAUUGAUUCUGUUUUCCUCUUGCUUUAGACAGAAAAAAAAUCCAACCCAAAUCGUUGCUACACCUAUGAAUCGUUGAUACAACUCCGAAUGAAGGAAAAAAAUCCAAUUUAAUCGAAUGGUAGAGACUGAAGAGUCUCGAUCUCCACGAUUAAGAGUCUCGAGAGAUAGAAUAAGAAACGGAGAAAGGUGAAUAGAAAUCGGACCAUAGACAUCGAUUAAGAGUCUCGAUCUUCACGAUUUUCAAGGGUUCCCGUUACAAAAUUGACGAUUGAAGUUCUCGACAGCAUCUUGGCGCUCACGAAAUAAUCUCCCGCUUGGCCGCCGCUUCCGCUUCAGCUCUCGUAUAGACGCCUCAAGAGAGUCACGCCUUUUUUCUUCUUGGACUGUUGUUGGUGCUGGACUUAAUUCUGGGCCAAAGUUCCGAAAUAUAUAUAUAUAUAUAUAGUAUAACUUGUUGGACAAAUUUUAUGCCCCUAAUUUGUUGAUGCCCUGGGCCUAAGCCCACCUUGCCCAUGUAUUGGGCCGGGACUGAGAGAAGUAAAGAACUCACCAAAAUUUAAAAAAAAAAACGAAAUCAGACCAUGCUUUUUUGAUUUUCAGCUUUCAGAUAUGCCUUCAAGCCUCCUGUAUUCUGUAUUCACAUCACAAAAUCAAGUAAUCAACCAUUGACCUAAUCACCCAAUCAUUUAAUCAAAUACAGUGAAGAUAUGAAUAUGAUGAAUUGAUGAUUCAUGUCGGAAAUUUUAGAAAGAAAUAAGAAACAAACAAACGAAAAAAAGAACUCACCGAUUUUACGAUUUAUAUAUUGAUUCUGUUUUCCUCUUGCUUUAGACAGAAAAAAAAUCCAACCCAAAUCGUUGCUACACCUAUGAAUCGUUGAUACAACUCCGAAUGAAGGAAAAAAAUCCAAUUUAAUCGAAUGGUAGAGACUGAAGAGUCUCGAUCUCCACGAUUAAGAGUCUCGAGAGAUAGAAUAAGAAACGGAGAAAGGUGAAUAGAAAUCGGACCAUAGACAUCGAUUAAGAGUCUCGAUCUUCACGAUUUUCAAGGGUUCCCGUUACAAAAUUGACGAUUGAAGUUCUCGACAGCAUCUUGGCGCUCACGAAAUAAUCUCCCGCUUGGCCGCCGCUUCCGCUUCAGCUCUCGUAUAGACGCCUCAAGAGAGUCACGCCUUUUUUCUUCUUGGACUGUUGUUGGUGCUGGACUUAAUUCUGGGCCAAAGUUCCGAAAUAUAUAUAUAUAUAUAUAGUAUAACUUGUUGGACAAAUUUUAUGCCCCUAAUUUGUUGAUGCCCUGGGCCUAAGCCCACCUUGCCCAUGUAUUGGGCCGGGACUGAGAGAAGUAAAGAACUCACCAAAAUUUAAAAAAAAAAACGAAAUCAGACCAUGCUUUUUUGAUUUUCAGCUUUCAGAUAUGCCUUCAAGCCUCCUGUAUUCUGUAUUCACAUCACAAAAUCAAGUAAUCAACCAUUGACCUAAUCACCCAAUCAUUUAAUCAAAUACAGUGAAGAUAUGAAUAUGAUGAAUUGAUGAUUCAUGUCGGAAAUUUUAGAAAGAAAUAAGAAACAAACAAACGAAAAAAAGAACUCACCGAUUUUACGAUUUAUAUAUU
rnacentral:lncRNA from 1 species